AGAGUUUGAUCCUGGCUCAGAUUGAACGCUGGCGGCAUGCCUUACACAUGCAAGUCGAACGGCAGCACGGGAGCAAUCCUGGUGGCGAGUGGCGAACGGGUGAGUAAUAUAUCGGAACGUGCCCAGUCGUGGGGGAUAACGCAGCGAAAGCUGUGCUAAUACCGCAUACGAUCUCUGGAUGAAAGCGGGGGACCUGCAAGGGCCUCGCGCGAUUGGAGCGGCCGAUAUCAGAUUAGCUAGUUGGUGGGGUAAAAGCUCACCAAGGCGACGAUCUGUAGCUGGUCUGAGAGGACGACCAGCCACACUGGAACUGAGACACGGCCCAGACUCCUACGGGAGGCAGCAGUGGGGAAUCUUAGACAAUGGGCGCAAGCCUGAUCUAGCCAUGCCGCGUGAGCGAUGAAGGCCUUAGGGUUGUAAAGCUCUUUCAGUGGGGAAGAUAAUGACUGUACCCACAGAAGAAGCCCCGGCUAACUCCGUGCCAGCAGCCGCGGUAAUA
rnacentral:rRNA from 1 species